CCUACGGGGGACAGCAGUGAGGAAUAUUGGUCAAUGGGCGCGAGCCUGAACCAGCCAAGUCGCGUGAGGGAAGACGGUCCUAUGGAUUGUAAACCUCUUUUGUCGGGGAGCAAAAGACGCCACGCGUGGCGUUCCGAGAGUACCCGAAGAAAAAGCAUCGGCUAACUCCGUGCCAGCAGCCGCGGUAAUACGGGGGAUGCGAGCGUUGUCCGGAUUUAUUGGGUUUAAAGGUUGCGCAGGCGGAAGAUCAAGUCAGCGGUAAAAUUGAGAGGCUCAACCUCUUCGAGCCGUUGAAACUGGGUGUCUUGAGUGAGCGAGAAGUAUGCGGAAUGCGUGGUGUAGCGGUGAAAUGCAUAGAUAUCACGCAGAACUCCGAUUGCGAAGGCAGCAUACCGGCGCUCAACUGACGCUCAUGCACGAAAGUGUGGGUAUCGAACAGGAUUAGAUACCCGUGUAGUC
rnacentral:rRNA from 1 species